rnacentral:lncRNA from 1 species
AGUAUCCGAAAUUAUCCGAAUCCGACCGAAGCGGCGAGACAGGGAAACCACAGAUUUAAGUGAUUCGGCCCUACAUGGGAUGACACCUUGACUUCGCGGAGUCAGAGACAGUACAAGCGACGAAUCGACGCCGCAGUCGAACGGAGGAAUGGUAACGCGGCUUACUUCUGGGGAUAUUUUUCUACCUUCCGUUGAUCUGGGGAUAUGAAAGUUUCCCGCAAUUACCAAUUAAUCCCUACAAAAAGUCGUACCGUAUCAAACGAACCAAUGACUGUAGGUAACUCCUCGCCCGACAAGAUCCCAUAAGUAUAUCAUGCAGAUGGAUUGACGUAAUUGAGAAGAAUAUUGCGACUGUAGCCAAGAGAUUAUAAAAUGAACCCAAAUAAAUGGAGCUGCUUAUUUUUGAGAUUGAAAAGAUACAGAUAGUGGUCGGCGGGGUAAUACGGGGGCGGGGGCAAAACAGGACAGACGUCAAAUUACGUAAGACAAUGCAUCAAUAAUGAAAGAGUAAGCAACGUUUAGUGUCUUUCACCGGCCGCCACAAAUCGCCGAGUCGCAUUAUAAAUCAUGGACACGCUCCUGCCGUUACACAAAAUUACGAAAAUUUAUCGUUUUUUCUAUAAUGUUCCCUCUAAAUAGUUUAUGUAACAUUGAUGUAAUAUUUUAACAUAAUAAUUUGAACAUAGGUGUUAAUGUCAGCAGAAAUUAGUGCAUCAGCAAGUGAGAACAUGAUUUUUCAAUUACCGCGUGUAUUUCUGUCACAAUUCUUGUUUUUAUUUUAAAUUAGCUGCUGGGGCAAGUCGGGACAAUGCUAUAACCGAUACCCCAUCUUGAACCAUGCCAUAUUCGUAGACCAAAUACAGAGAUACCGUGAAUUUGUAUCCAUUUGUCUGUAUGUCACUGUAUACUAAAUAUUAUACUAAAUAUUGAAUACCUCUUGUUUUAGGAUGGUGAGAAACUAUCCCCACUAGCGUUUCCCAUAUUGCCCUACAGAGCCAGUCUAGUCGGGUUAAACCAUGUAUAUGUCCUUCUUCGAUUUUUUAAUUUUUAGAAUGAAUAUUGAUCUAACCUUGAAUGCCAAUUGUACGACUGAUUGCCAAAGAUAACAUAUCUAAUUAAUACAAUAUUUAAAUUGU